rnacentral:rRNA from 1 species
UACGUAGGGUGCGAGCGUUAAUCGGAAUUACUGGGCGUAAAGCGUGCGCAGGCGGUGAUGUAAGACAGUUGUGAAAUCCCCGGGCUCAACCUGGGAACUGCAUCCGAGACUGCAUUGCUAGAGUAUGGGAGAGGGAAGCGGAAUUUCUGGUGUAGCAGUGAAGAUGCGUAGAUAUCAGAAGGAACAUCAGUGGCGAAGGCGGCUUCCUGGACCAAUACUGACGAUCAGGUGCGAAAGCGUGGGGAGCAAACAGG